rnacentral:rRNA from 1 species
UACGUAGGGUGCGAGCGUUAAUCGGAAUUACUGGGCGUAAAGCGCACGUAGUCGGCUUUGCAAGUCGGGUGUGAAAUCCCCGGGCUCAACCUGGGAACUGCAUCCGAGACUGCAUUGCUAGAGUAUGGGGAGAGGGAAGCGGAAUUUUCUGGUGUAGCAGUGAAAUGCGUAGAUAUCAGAAGGAACAUCAGUGGCGAAGGCGGCUUCCUGGACCAAUACUGACGAUCAGGUGCGAAAGCGUGGGGAGCAAACAGG